UGACCUACUAUUUUGGCAUUAAUUGAACUGAAUUUUGGUGUUGUUUUAUGUUUGUGAUGCUGCCUUAUGGAAUAUUGGUUAGAGCUAGGAAAAUGACAUAUUUUGUGCAUUUUGAAUAGGUUUAUGAAUGGUCAAUGGCAUGUUUAUGGCAUAAGUAUGUAUUUGAUGUUUGUGACUUCCAUUAUAAGACACAUUAUGACACACACAGGUUAGUACACAAUCGUGUAUUACACAUGGGCAUGGGACACGGUCGUGUGCUCUGUGUUGAUUGGGAAGCUUUGGG
rnacentral:lncRNA from 1 species